rnacentral:tRNA from 1 species
GGUGUUAUGGCAGAGAGGUUAUUGCGAAGUACUGUUAAUACUUUUUUUCAUAGGUUCGAGUCCUAUUAACACCU